ensembl:lncRNA
GCCUGACAGUAAUCAGGCCUUGAUAUGGCCAGUAAAAUUUAACUCAGCUUUCUAAAAUAAUGUGGUUAAUCACAGUUCUUUCAUGAUUUAACAGGAGGGGGCAAUUAAUUUUACACGCAGGGCCAGGUAGGUAUGGACAGCUUUUUUCCCUUAAUAAAUAAAAUCAUCAUUUAAAAACUGCAUUUUUUAUUUACUUGAAUUAUCUUUGUGUAAUAUAAAAAUUUGUUUGAUGAUCUGAAUUUUUUAAGUGUUACAAAUAUGCAAAAAAAUAUAAAAAACAGGAAGGGGGCAAAAACAUUUUCACGGCACUGAUAUAUAUAUAAAAUUGUAAUUAGGUUAUAUCACAUUGUAAAAUGCUUGAUUUCUCUAUAUAUUUGCUAUUUAUAACAAUAAUCCAAUUCAAAUCAUUCAACAAAUUAGGUCAUAAGUAAUCUAAAAGUAAUCCAAAAGUAAUUGGAAAUACUUCGCCUAAAAUGAGUAAUCGAAAUUACAAUACUGACUGCAAUUUUCAUCAUGUAAUUUGUAAUAAGUAACAGACUACAACCCAGCUCAGCCCAGCCCAACCCAACACUGUGUGUGUGUUAUAGUCAUUUGACUGCUCUUUAUAUUUGCAGCACUACCAAAAGAAAUUGUGUGCAUCCAUAAAUAAUGCUGUAUAUUUCAUUCAUCUGAAAAAGGCCACAGCCUAGUGAACACAGGCAACCUUUGGCCUUCCCUUCCCCUUACUCACUUUGUAAAUCAGCACAUCACCCUUCCUUACAUCACAUCCAGGUUAUGUAACACUGUUUCCUAGUUACCCUGGUGACAGAAGCUGCCCUCUGUUCCCCUCGGUGUCAGCCAUCCACCGUCACCUGUCUGAACGGGAGGGUAAAUUUUAAGAAGACUGAUUCUGUUUGCAUGUGUAUUGAAGGAAGCCUACAGAUGACCAGAUAGUAUAAUGGAUGACAGUUAUUGUACAGUGAGUGAGUGUGCAACUGAGCUUUUGUGCAAUUGGAAUGACAAGCAUUUCCCUUGAAAAAGUUAUUGUAAACCCAAAGCAGCAGCGGGAUACCAUGAUCUUUAGCAUCAACCAGCACAGACAGCCUGCUAGAGCUGGGCCCUGA